UACGGGGGGGGCAAGCGUUGUUCGGAAUUACUGGGCGUAAAGGGCCAGUAGGCGGCCAACUAAGUCAGACGUGAAAUCCCCAGGCUCAACCUGGGAACUGCGUCUGAUACUGGUUGGCUUGAAUUCGGGAGAGGGAUGCAGAAUUCCAGGUGUAGCGGUGAAAUGCGUAGAUAUCUGGAGGAAUACCGGUGGCGAAGGCGGCAUCCUGGACCGGCAUUGACGCUGAGGAGCGAAAGCUAGGGGAGCAAACGGG
rnacentral:rRNA from 1 species